UCUUCCUCGCGUUGUCCCGGCAUUUUGCCACGGCUCAUGGGAGCCUGGGGUCCGCUUGGCAACUAAUCCCAAGAGUUGGCGUAGGCACUAGUUUAAGGGAAACUAGGCCUUAUUGGGAUUAAUCCGGUUUCCUCACGAUGUUUUCCUUCACCGAAAAGCGACUGGUAAAUAUCAAAUGAUAUUUCGUACAUAAGUUACGAAAAACUCAUUGGUACGAGCCGGGGUUUGAACCCGCGACCUCCGGAUUGCAAGUCGCACGCUCUUACCGCUAGGCCACCAGCGCUU